GGCGCCGGUCGUACCGCUUGGUGGUGCGCGGGUCGUUGUGGUCGGCCCACUCCUGGAUCUUGUCGGGGCGGGCGCCG
rnacentral:tRNA from 1 species